GACGAACGCUGGCGGCGUGCUUAACACAUGCAAGUCGAACGGUAAGGCCCCUCGGGGUACACGAGUGGCGAACGGGUGAGUAACACGUGGGUGAUCUGCCCUGCACUUCGGGAUAAGCCUGGGAAACUGGGUAUAAUACCGGAUAGGACCCUGGGAUGCAUGUCAUGGGGUGGAAAGAUUUUGCGGUGUGGGAUGGGCCCGCGGGCUAUCAGCUGGUUGGUGGGGUGAUGGCCUACCAAGGCGACGACGGGUAGCCGGCCUGAGAGGGUGACCGGCCACACUGGGACUGAGAUACGGCCCAGACUCCGACGGGAGGCAGCAGUGGGGAAUAUUGCACAAUGGGCGCAAGCCUGAUGCAGCGACGCCGCGUGAGGGAUGACGGCCUUCGGGUUGUAAACCUCUUUCAGCACCGACGAAGCGCAAGUGACGGUAGGUGCAGAAGAAGGACCGGCCAACUACGUGCCAGCCGCCGCAGUAA
rnacentral:rRNA from 1 species